UGCUAGGGCCGCUCCCUUAGGCCCAGUGGCUGCGGACCUGCCGGGGCGCAGAGAUGGAGAUGCCCAGAUGGCAGGGAGAGAUCCUAAACCCUCAGCCUUGCCCUGGCCCACCGCGGAAUGGCCCGGAGAGAUGGGGGGUUGGGGAAAAACAACAGGAUGGGGAAGGGAGGGCCAAUCAGGCUCAUCUGAAUGUAGGUCAGCCACACCCCACAUAUUGAAUACCAAGAAUCCAUCCCCUGAGAAAGGGCACCCAGGCCGGCCCUACCCCCAGCCUCGCGUCUGGUCCAAGGAGGUCCCAGGGCAGGAAUUAGAAGAGCAUGUCACUAUAUUUCCAGUUGGGGAGGGGUGCUGAGUCUGAGUGAGGAGGUGGUUUCAGUGCCAGGAGGAAUAGAAACUGGCCUACGGCCUGAAUGGGCCUUGAACCCCUGUGACCACUCCCUUCAAGAAUGUGCCCCAACCUUACGGACAAGUGACUCAAAGGAGCCUGAGGGGGAUGGGAGCAAGGAUUUGGC
rnacentral:lncRNA from 1 species